GUUGAUUUUUCCCAUAAUUAUAUAUCUUUUUUAUCGCCCAUUUUCUUUGAAAAUAGUACAACUUUAAAGAACUUGAACUUAAGAAACAACUUGUUAGGAAACUGUAUGAGCAAACCAAACUCGACCUAUUUCGGAAAUCUCUGGAAUUUGACAUUGUUGGACCUUUCAUCCAAUGUUAUCCGCUUUGCAGCUCCUGAUAUUUUUGAAGGUCUGGAAUCCCUGGAGACAUUGAAUCUAAGUUUUAAUUUACUCCGAAAUGUUUCAUUUAGAAUGCACCAGAUGCCUUCUCUGAAAACAUUAGAUCUUUCUUCUAAUGAACUUUUGCCAUUUUCUGACGCUACAAUUCAAAUUCUGGAAUCGAGACAACAAACUAGUCGACUGAAAAUUAUCCUUACAGGAAAUGAAUUUCAGUGUACGUGCGACUCUCUUAAUUUCCUCAAGUGGAUGCUACGAAACAAAAACACUGUCAUUGUAGAUUAUUCAUACCUUUGUCGAAAUAUGAACCAUGCCAUCAACAACAAUGAUGGGUUGGACUUGAUAAGUAAGAUGCUAGAUAAGAAAUGCGACGAUUACGAAGAAAUCAUUGGUGUAGUAUCUGGACUUUUUGUUGUUUUCUUUGCGUUCAUUGUUGGUGGAGUUAUUCAUCGCUACCGGUGGAAACUUCGAUACUUCUAUUACAUGUCAAAAUGGAGCGCUACAAUGUCACACAAAUCCUAUGGUAGAGUAUACGACUAUGACGCAUUUGUUUCUUAUGCUGAUGAGGAGAAGGAUUUUGUCAUACAGGAAAUGACGUCAGAGCUAGAGGAAGUGUCAGACUUGAGACUGUGUCUCCACGAGCGAGAUUUUACACCAGGUAUAUCAAUCGGCGAGAACAUAACCAAGGCAAUAUGUAACAGCAGAAAGGUUUUGUGUGUCGUAACUGAGAACUUUCUAUGCUCUCAGUGGUGUAUGUAUGAACUAGAGAUGGCCCUCACAGACAACAGGUACUCCAGAGACGAUCAAUCGGUUUUCCUUAUCAUGUACGGAGGAUUGCCGACUGAUAGCUGUAAAAUUCGUUCAUCGAUCCGACUUAUGUCUUUAGUGAAGGAGAACGCCUAUCUAGAAUAUCCUAAUGAUGAGAGCAAUAGAGCAGAAUUCUGGAAUUCACUUAGAAUCAUAAUGAAAAAAAUACGAAAUCCUGUGUAAUUAGGAGAGUAUUGUUAAAUUAAGUAGUAGCCAGUUCAUGAGGAUAUGAUCAACAAAAUACCAACAUGCUCCGUCAAAAAAUUAUCAGUAACAAAGUGUCGGUUUUUUCAUAUGUCGAAGCAGUUUAAAACAAAUAUAUUUAAUUCACUAUAAUGAACAAUUGCACAGAGAAUAUAAGCAUAAAAAGUGAUUAUUUACCAUAAAGAUUGUGACAGCUAUUAUUUUUGAUAGGAAAACAAUCCGAAUGGAGUUUUAUGUUUUAAUUUUUAAAUUCACAAAUUAAUGCAUCUUAGAACUUACAAUAUGCCAUUUUCAAUACUAAAGUGAAAGAAAAUUACAUUUGUUGUUUAAAAAGCAAUACGGAAAAAGUUACGCAUUACAAGUUUAUAUGCACAUUGUAAAUACCGUAUAUAUAAAUAAAAAUGGUAACAUGAAAAACUC
rnacentral:sRNA from 1 species